rnacentral:rRNA from 1 species
GCAGGCGCGAAAACUUUACAAUGCGGGAAACCGUGAUAAGGGAACACCGAGUGCCAGCAUCAUAUGCUGGCUGUCCAGAUGUGUAAACUACAUCUGUUAGCAAGGGCCGGGCAAGACCGGUGCCAGCCGCCGCGGUAACACCGGCGGCCCGAGUGGUGACCGUUAUUAUUGGGUCUAAAGGGUCCGUAGCCGGUUUGGUCAGUCCUCCGGGAAAUCUGAUAGCUUAACUGUUAGGCUUUCGGGGGAUACUGCCUGGCUUGGAACCGGGAGAGGUAAGAGGUACUACAGGGGUAGGAGUGAAAUCUUGUAAUCCCUGUGAGACCACCUGUGGCGAAGGCGUCUUACCAGAACGGGUUCGACGGUGAGGGACGAAAGCUGGGGGCACGAACCGGAUUAGAUACCCGGGUAGUCCCAGCCGUAAACUAUGCUCGCUAGGUGUCAGGCAUGGCGCGACCGUGUCUGGUGCCGCAGGGAAGCCGUGAAGCGAGCCACCUGGGAAGUACGGCCGCAAGGCUGAAACUUAAGGGAAUUGGCGGGGGAGCACAACAACGGGUGGAGCCUGCGGUUUAAUUGGACUCAACGCCGGACAACUCACCGGGAACGAC